rnacentral:tRNA from 1 species
GAGGGUAUAGCUCAGUGGUAGAGCGCAUGUUUAGCAUGCACAAGGUCCUGGGUUCAAUCCCCAGUACCUCCU